rnacentral:rRNA from 1 species
AGAGUUUGAUCAUGGCUCAGAUUGAACGCUGGCGGCAGGCCUAACACAUGCAAGUCGAACGGUAACAGGAAGCAGCUUGCUGCUUUGCUGACGAGUGGCGGACGGGUGAGUAAUGUCUGGGAAACUGCCUGAUGGAGGGGGAUAACUACUGGAAACGGUAGCUAAUACCGCAUAACGUCGCAAGACCAAAGAGGGGGACCUUAGGGCCUCUUGCCAUCGGAUGUGCCCAGAUGGGAUUAGCUAGUAGGUGGGGUAAAGGCUCACCUAGGCGACGAUCCCUAGCUGGUCUGAGAGGAUGACCAGCCACACUGGAACUGAGACACGGUCCAGACUCCUACGGGAGGCAGCAGUGGGGAAUAUUGCACAAUGGGCGCAAGCCUGAUGCAGCCAUGCCGCGUGUAUGAAGAAGGCCUUCGGGUUGUAAAGUACUUUCAGCGGGGAGGAAGGGAGUAAAGUUAAUACCUUUGCUCAUUGACGUUACCCGCAGAAGAAGCACCGGCUAACUCCGUGCCAGCAGCCGCGGUAAUACGGAGGGUGCAAGCGUUAAUCGGAAUUACUGGGCGUAAAGCGCACGCAGGCGGUUUGUUAAGUCAGAUGUGAAAUCCCCGGGCUCAACCUGGGAACUGCAUCUGAUACUGGCAAGCUUGAGUCUCGUAGAGGGGGGUAGAAUUCCAGGUGUAGCGGUGAAAUGCGUAGAGAUCUGGAGGAAUACCGGUGGCGAAGGCGGCCCCCUGGACGAAGACUGACGCUCAGGUGCGAAAGCGUGGGGAGCAAACAGGAUUAGAUACCCUGGUAGUCCACGCCGUAAACGAUGUCGACUUGGAGGUUGUGCCCUUGAGGCGUGGCUUCCGGAGCUAACGCGUUAAGUCGACCGCCUGGGGAGUACGGCCGCAAGGUUAAAACUCAAAUGAAUUGACGGGGGCCCGCACAAGCGGUGGAGCAUGUGGUUUAAUUCGAUGCAACGCGAAGAACCUUACCUGGUCUUGACAUCCACGGAAGUUUUCAGAGAUGAGAAUGUGCCUUCGGGAACCGUGAGACAGGUGCUGCAUGGCUGUCGUCAGCUCGUGUUGUGAAAUGUUGGGUUAAGUCCCGCAACGAGCGCAACCCUUAUCCUUUGUUGCCAGCGGUCCGGCCGGGAACUCAAAGGAGACUGCCAGUGAUAAACUGGAGGAAGGUGGGAUGACGUCAAGUCAUCAUGGCCCUUACGACCAGGGCUACACACGUGCUACAAUGGCGCAUACAAAGAGAAGCGACCUCGCGAGAGCAAGCGGACCUCAUAAAGUGCGUCGUAGUCCGGAUUGGAGUCUGCAACUCGACUCCAUGAAGUCGGAAUCGCUAGUAAUCGUGGAUCAGAAUGCCACGGUGAAUACGUUCCCGGGCCUUGUACACACCGCCCGUCACACCAUGGGAGUGGGUUGCAAAAGAAGUAGGUAGCUUAACCUUCGGGAGGGCGCUUACCACUUUGUGAUUCAUGACUGGGGUGAAGUCGUAACAAGGUAACCGUAGGGGAACCUGCGGUUGGAUCACCU